rnacentral:lncRNA from 1 species
ACUGACUUUGCGAGCAGGAUUGGUCUAGACUUUUACACAAGAGCACCGCUAGGCAAACAUUCCCUGGGAGACACAUUCAUGAUCCCAUGGCACCAAAACUUACUGUAUGCGUUUCCCCCGAUACCGGUUCUGAACAGGGUCCUGAUAAAAAUACAAACAGAUGGAGCCAAGGUGAUCCUAAUUGCCCCAUCAUGGCCCAGACAGCCCUGGUUUCCGUUUCUCACCAAAAUGUCCAUUCGACCACCAAUCCCCUUGCCUCUCAUUCCGAACCUCCUAUCACAACAACAUGGCCGUUUUCUCCACCCCAACUUAUCCAUGCUCCACCUCAAAGCAUGGUUCCUACAUGGUUCUCCCAAAAUGAACUAGAUUGUUCUGAACAAGUUCAAAGAGUGCUCCUGCAUAGCAGAACACAAUCUACUCGCACCACCUAUCUAUGUAAGUGGAAACGAUUCACACACUGGUGUUCAACUAAACAACUUAGUCCCACGUCAGCACCUCUUCCGCUCAUACUUGACUACCUAUUGGACCUUAAGCAAUCCAGCCUUUCUUCCAGUUCCAUCAGGGUCCAUUUAGCUGCUAUUACAACUUUUCAUGACAAAAUUGAUGGUACUUCCGUAUUUGCUCAUCCUAUCACCAAGCACUUCCUCAAGGGACUCCAGACCCUAUACCCAGACAUAAAACCACCCACCACCGCGUGGGACCUUCAUCUAGUUCUCUCUUGCCUAACCCAACAACCAUUUGAACCCCUAGCCACGUGUUCCCUUUUACACCUUUCGAUGAAAACAGCAUUUUUAGUGGCAAUUACCUCCACCAGGCGGGCAGGAGAAAUAGCAGCUCUUAUGGCAGACCCACCAUAUACGAUAUUUUUCAAAGACAAGGUUACCCUCAGGUUACACCCCAAUUUUCUUCCUAAAGUACACUCCUCGUUCCACAUUAAUGAGCCGAUUCACUUACCAACCUUUUUCCCGAAGCCACAUGCGAACUCGUUCGAAGCCUCAAUGCAUACACUAGACGUAUAGAACCAAACCUUUUAGAAAUUCUUCCAGACUUUUUGUUUCCAUCGCG